CCUACGGGUGGCAGCAGUAGGGAAUCUUUCACAAUGGGCGAAAGCCUGAUGGAGCAACGCCGCGUGCAGGAUGAAGGCCUUCGGGUUGUAAACUGCUUUUAUAAGCGAGGAAUAUGAUGGUAAGUUAUGAAUAAGGAUCGGCUAACUACGUGCCAGCAGCCGCGGUCCUACGUAGGAUCCGAGCAUUAUCCGGGGGGACUGUGUGUGCAGAGGUGCGUAGGUAGCAUAAUAAGUAGCUAGUGAAAUCUGAUGGCUCAACCAUUCAGACUAGUAGCGAAACUGUUAAGCUCGAGACCGUUAGAGGUAACUGGAAGUUCUAGUGUAGGAGUGAAAUCCGUAGAUAUUAGAAAGAACACCGAUAGCGUAGGCAGCUUACUGGGACGGUUCUGACGCUAAGGCACGAAAGCGUAGGGAGCAAACGGGAUUAGAUACCCGAGUAGUC
rnacentral:rRNA from 1 species